AUGACAUCAGAUCAUCAUAAAACCUUCCUAUCCACUGAGCCAUCUCUCUAGCCUCUGUGCUUCCUGCUCAGUAAACGUAAGCAAGCACCUACUCCUGAGCAAGCUGAGUGCAGGGACCGUAAGGGACCGUGGAUUCUGCUGUGCCUCUCACUUGGAGGAAAGUGACAGAAAGCCACUGAAUGAGCAUCUUACAUCGCAGCUCCCUUAGCCCCAGCCUAUAUUUUAAUGCUUACCCAUGAUUAACUUAAAAUUUCUUUAGUGACAUCAAAAUACCUUUGUCAUUGAUAUCCUGUCAUGUUUCUAUUCUGAUUUGAAGUAUGUCUCUAAUUCAUACUUAUUUUUCCCCUUAGAAUACUUUUGUUUUGUUUUGUUUUUAGAAAAAUCCUUCCUCUAUAUUUUGUCUGUUGGUUUGAUUUUAGGUACAUGAUAUUUAUUUUUAUAUCAAUAGAUACUAUGCCAU
rnacentral:lncRNA from 1 species